AGUGUCAUGGGGGUCAGAGGCUGGCUCCAAAACAGAACACAUUCCCAUAAAAGCCCAUUUUAAAACAUCCAACGUUAGAGCAGAAAUAAAGAUGUUUUACAGCCUGGUACAAAAAUGGUUUUGGGCUCCAUAGACAGUUUCCUUCUCCAUGACAACUGGAAAAGACUUUAAUUAACCCUCUGGGGCCGAUGCCGUCGUAUACAACGGCUGAGACCAAGCUUUACUAAAUUAUAAAUAACUUUUUAAUGAUAUGAGAUAGACUUACU